GGGGGGGGGGGGGGGGGGGGGGGGCAGGGGCGGGGCGGGGGGGGGGGGGCGGCGGGUGUGGGGUGCUCGAGUGGCGAACGGGUGAGUAACACGUGAGUAACCUGCCCUUGACUUUGGGAUAACUUCAGGAAACUGGGGCUAAUACCGGAUAGGAGCUCCUGCUGCAUGGUGGGGGUUGGAAAGUUUCGGCGGUUGGGGAUGGACUCGCGGCUUAUCAGCUUGUUGGUGGGGUAGUGGCUUACCAAGGCUUUGACGGGUAGCCGGCCUGAGAGGGUGACCGGCCACAUUGGGACUGAGAUACGGCCCAGACUCCUACGGGAGGCAGCAGUGGGGAAUAUUGCACAAUGGGCGGAAGCCUGAUGCAGCAACGCCGCGUGCGGGAUGACGGCCUUCGGGUUGUAAACCGCUUUCGCCUGUGACGAAGCGUGAGUGACGGUAAUGGGUAAAGAAGCACCGGCUAACUACGUG
rnacentral:rRNA from 1 species